AUUGAACGCUGGCGGCAGGCCUAACACAUGCAAGUCGAGCGGAGCGGCGGACGGGUGAGUAAUGCCUAGGAAUCUGCCUGGUAGUGAGGGCUAACGUCAGGAAACGGGCGCUAAUACCGCAUACUAUCAGAUUAGCAUAGGUCGGAUUGGCUAGUUGGUUGGGUAAAGGCCUACCCAGGCGACGACCCGUACCUGGUCUGAGCGUAUGAUCAGGCACAUUGGAACGGAGACACGGCCCAGACUCCUCCGGGAGGCAGCAGUGGGGAAUAUUGGACAAUGGGCGAAAGCCUGAUCCAGCCAUGCCGCGUGUGUGAAGAAGGUCUUCGGAUUGUAAAGCACUUUAAGUUGGGAGGCGUUACCAACAGAAUAAGCACCGGCUAACUUCGUGCCAGCCGCCGCGGUAAUUC
rnacentral:rRNA from 1 species